rnacentral:rRNA from 1 species
UACGGAAGGGGCUAGCGUUGCUCGGAAUCACUGGGCGUAAAGCGCACGUAGGCGGUACUCUUAAGUCAGGGGUGAAAUCCUGGAGCUCAACUCCAGAACUGCCUUUGAAUACUGGGAGUCUUGAGUUCGGGAGAGGUGAGUGGAACUGCGAGUGUAGAGGUGAAAUUCGUAGAUAUUCGCAAGAACACCAGUGGCGAAGGCGGCCUCA